rnacentral:rRNA from 1 species
UACAGAGGCCCCAAGCGUUACUGAGAAUCACUGGGUUUAAAGGGUGCGUAGGUGGCGCGUUAAGUCCGUUGUGAAAUCCCUGGGCUCAACCCAGGAAAUGCUUCGGAUACUGGCGUGCUUGAGGCUAGUAGGGGUCACUGGAACUGACGGUGGAGCGGUGAAAUGCGCAGAUAUCGUCAGGAACGCCAAUGGUGAAGACAGGUGACUGGGCUAGAUCUGACACUGAGGCACGAAAGCGUGGGGAGCGAACGGG